rnacentral:rRNA from 1 species
GACGAACGCUGGCGGCGUGCUUAACUCAUGCAAGUCGAACGGAAAGGCCCUGCUUUUGUGGGGUGCUCGAGUGGCGAACGGGUGAGUAACACGUGAGUAACCUGCCCUUGACUUUGGGAUAACUUCAGGAAACUGGGGCUAAUACCGGAUAGGAGCUCCUGCUGCAUGGUGGGGGUUGGAAAGUUUCGGCGGUUGGGGAUGGACUCGCGGCUUAUCAGCUUGUUGGUGGGGUAGUGGCUUACCAAGGCUUUGACGGGUAGCCGGCCUGAGAGGGCGACCGGCCACAUUGGGACUGAGAUACGGCCCAGACUCCUACGGGAGGCAGCAGUGGGGAAUAUUGCACAAUGGGCGGAAGCCUGAUGCAGCAACGCCGCGUGCGGGAUGGCGGCCUUCGGGUUGUAAACCGCUUUCGCCUGUGACGAAGCGUGAGUGACGGUAAUGGGUAAAGAAGCACCGGCUAACUACGUGCCAGCAGCCGCGGUGAUACGUAGGGUGCGAGCGUUGUCCGGAUUUAUUGGGCGUAAAGGGCUCGUAGGUGGUUGAUCGCGUCGGAAGUGUAAUCUUGGGGCUUAACCCUGAGCGUGCUUUCGAUACGGGUUGACUUGAGGAAGGUAGGGGAGAAUGGAAUUCCUGGUGGAGCGGUGGAAUGCGCAGAUAUCAGGAGGAACACCAGUGGCGAAGGCGGUUCUCUGGGCCUUUCCUGACGCUGAGGAGCGAAAGCGUGGGGAGCGAACAGGCUUAGAUACCCCGGUAGUCCACGCUGUAAACGGUGGGUACUAGGUGUGGGGUCCAUUCCACGGGUUCCGUGCCGUAGCUAACGCUUUAAGUACCCCGCCUGGGGAGUACGGCCGCAAGGCUAAAACUCAAAGGAAUUGACGGGGCCCCGCACAAGCGGCGGAGCAUGCGGAUUAAUUCGAUGCAACGCGUAGAACCUUACCUGGGUUUGACAUGGAUCGGGAGUGCUCAGAGAUGGGUGUGCCUCUUUUGGGGUCGGUUCACAGGUGGUGCAUGCCUGUCGUCAGCUCGUGUCGUGAGAUGUUGGGUUAAGUCCCGCAACGAGCGCAACCCUUGUUCACUGUUGCCAGCACGUUAUGGUGGGGACUCAGUGGAGACCGCCGGGGUCAACUCGGAGGAAGGUGGGGAUGACGUCAAGUCAUCAUGCCCCUUAUGUCCAGGGCUUCACGCAUGCUACAAUGGCUGGUACAGAGAGUGGCGAGCCUGUGAGGGUGAGCGAAUCUCGGAAAGCCGGUCUCAGUUCGGAUUGGGGUCUGCAACUCGACCUCAUGAAGUCGGAGUCGCUAGUAAUCGCAGAUCAGCAACGCUGCGGUGAAUACGUUCCCGGG